GCACCAGUAGUUUAGGGGUAAAAUCACGGCCUUCCAAGCCGUUGUCCUGGGUUCGAAUCCCAGCUGGUGCA
rnacentral:tRNA from 1 species